rnacentral:rRNA from 1 species
CCUACGGGCGGCAGCAGUGAGGAAUAUUGGUCAAUGGACGCGAGCCUGAACCAGCCAAGUCGCGUGAGGGAAGACGGCCCUAUGGAUUGUAAACCUCUUUUGUCGGGGGGCAAAAGACGACACGCGUGGCGGUCCGAGAGUAUCCGAAGAAAAAGCAUCGGCUAACUCCGUGCCAGCAGCCGCGGUAAUACGGAGGAUGCGAGCGUUAUCCGGAUUUAUUGGGUUUAAAGGGUGCGCAGGCGGAAGAUCAAGUCAGCGGUAAAAUUUAGAGGCUCAACCCCUUCGAGCCGUUGAAACUGGUUGUCUUGAGAUGUCGAGCGGUAUGCGGAAUGAGUAGUGUAGCGGUGAAAUGCUUAGAUAUUGCGCAGAACUCCGAUUGCGAAGGCAGCAUACCGGCGGCGAUCUGACGCUGAGGCACGAAAGCGUGGGUAUCGAACAGGAUUAGAUACCCCUGUAGUC